CCCCCCCCCCCUUCCUGCCGCUGCUAUAAAACCAGCGGCCUUGGCAGCGCCGCCACAGCCCGGACCUUUGGAGGGAGAAAGGAAAGAAAGCGUUUCGGCCCUUCCUCCCCUCCUUGGCACCGGCGCGAAACGCACAGCGAACGAGCGAGUGAGAGAGCGCGCGGCCAGGAGCUGUCCCCGUCCCUGUCCCCACCCCCCAGAGCUAUCAAAGCUGCUGGCCCUCUGCUGCCUACGCGCAGCUGGCCCUUCAGAAGAGAGGAAGGGGAGGCAGGAACGUGAGCAGCGAGUCUAUGCUCCCUUAUUACACAGCAGCCAGUGGGUGCGCUGUGGGCAUGUUCAACACAUCCAUGCGGGAGCUGCAGAAGCACUUGUACAAAGGGGAAUACUAUGCCUUCAAGUACGCCCCCAUGUUCGAGAGCAACUUCAUCCAGAUCAGCAAGAGAGGGGAAAUGAUUAGCAUGCAU